GUAAUACUACUGAGGACAGGUAAUACUACUGAGGACAGGUAAUGCUACUGAAGACAGGUAAUACUACUGAGGACAGGUAAUACUACUGAAGACAGGUAAUACUACUGAAGACAGGUAAUACUGCUGAAGACAGGUAAUACUACUGAAGACAGGUAAUACUACUGAAGACAGGUAAUACUACUGAAGACAGGUAAUACCACUGAGGACAGGUAAUACCACUGAGGACAGGUAAUACUACUGAAGACAGGUAAUACUACUGUAGACAGGUAAUACUAUUGAAGUCAGGUAAUACUAUUGAGGAAAGGUAAUACUACUGAAGACAGGUAAUACUACUGAAGACAGGUAAUACUACUGAAGACAGGUAAUACCACUGAGGACAGGUAAUACUACUGAAGACAGGUAAUACUACUGAAGACAGGUAA